AGUUCUGCACAUUACCCCAGAACUUACAAUAUAAUUUAAAAAAACAAAACUGCCAUUUUGGUCAGGCUCAGACCUGUGCUGCCUCAGGAUGUAAUGUGUAACAAAGGAACCCGGGUCUGCAGCGUGGGCCUGUGAGGCCUGUGGGUGCCUGUGUUCCCCAGCUCCCCCCGCAGCUGACUCCACAGUGGUCCCCUCCAGUUGUCCCCUCCAACACACAAGGCUGUGUGUUCUCCACCACUUAUUGUUACCUCAACAGGCCAGGGUUACUGCAGUGACCCCCAUAGUAGCCUUGGCCCUAUGGAGGAGCCUGGGGCUACCCCGCAGCCAUACUUGGGGCUGUUCCUGGAGGAGCUAUGCAGGUCUGUGGCAGCACUGCCUAAAAGUGAGACCAGAUUCUAAUCCCUAUGGUUUUCCAUGGGAAUUGGUGAUAUAUGCAGCUGUUGUUGAAUUUUUUGUUGUUCUCUUUUCGUUUGGGGAGAAGUUUUAGGUCGGUUAGGAGUUGGCUUUAUGUGGGAAGAGAGAAAAAGCUUGCUGUAGCACUUUCUGGAAUAACUGAAGAAAAAUUUAAACCGUCUGAAAAAUUUAGCCUUAUUCAAAAAACAUAUGAAGGCUGUGAAGUAGAGUUAUCUUUAAAGAAUGCCAGCUUUGAGAAGGAGGCAACAGAAACACAAAGUGUGGAGGCAGCCUGUGAAAAGCUGAAUAGGUCCAAUUCUGAAUUUGAAGAUGAAAUACUCUGUCUAGAAAAAGAGUUAAAAGAAGAGAAAUCUAAACAUUCUAAACAAGAUGAACUGAUGGCGGAUAUUUCAAAAAGGAUACAGCCUCUAGAAGAUGAUUCAAAAUCCCUCAAAUCACAAUUAGCUGAAGCCAAAAUGACCUUCAAGAUAUUUCAAAUGAAUAAAGAAUGAUGGAAGAUAGCAAUAACAGGAAAGCCAGAAACAGUUUUACAAGAAGCUGACAUGUGGAAAGAACGAGUGAGUGAACUUAAUAAACAAAAAUUAACAUUUGAGGACUCCAAAGUACAUGGAGAACAAGUUCUAAAUGAUGAAAAUCACAUCAAAACUCUGACUGAACAUUUGCUAAAGAUGAAAGAUUGGGUUGACAUGCUUGGAGAAGAUAUAGCAGAUGAUGAUAACUUGGAAUUAGAAAUGAACAAUGAAUCAGAAAAUGGUGCGUACUUAGAUAAUCCUCCAAAAGGAGCUUUGGAGAAACUGAUUAACGCUGCUAAGUUAAAUGCUUCUUUAAAAACCUUAAAAGGAGAAAGAAACCAAAUUUAUAUUCAGUUAUCUGAAGUUGAUAAAACAAAGGAAAAGCUUACACAGCAUAUUAAAAAUCUUCAGACUGAACAAGCAUCUUUGCAGCUAGAAAACACACAUUUUGAAAGUGAGAAUCAGAAGCUUCAACAGAAACUUAAAAUAAUGACUGAAUUAUAUCAAGAAAAUAAAAUGAAACUCCACAGGAAAUUAACAGUAGAGGAAAAUUACCCGUUACAGAAAGAAGGGAAUCUUUCUAAAGUAGAAAAAAAGAUCAGACAUGCCACUGAAGAGCUGGAGACCUAUGGAAAGCAAGCUGAAGAUCUUGAAGAACUGGAGAGAAAUACUCACUUUUAUCAAGGGCGGAUUAUUUCCUAUGAGAAAAAAGCUCACAAUAAUUUGCUUGGCAUCUUGGACUGCUGAAAUGAUUUAAGGAAAGAAAAUGCUCACAACACACAAAAAUUAACUGAAACAGAGUUUAAAUUUAAACUUUUAGAAAAAGAUCCUUAUGCACUUGAUGUUCCAGAUACAGCAUUUGGCAAUGGUCCCUCACCAUUGGGUCGGCCUUCAUCCGAAACAAGAGCUUUUCUCUCUCCUCCAACUUUGUUGGAGGGUCCACUCAGACUCUCACCUUUGCUUCCAAGUGGAGGAGGAAGAGGCUCAAGAUGCCCAGGGAAUCCUCUGGACCAUCAGAUUAUCAAUGAAAGAAGAGAAUCAAGCUGUGAUAGGUUAACCCAUCCUCGCAGGGUUCCUUCUGACACUGGGUCCCUGUCACCUCUGUGGGAACCGGACCAUAUAAAUAGCAGUUAUUUGUUUUCUCUGAUCCACCAGGACAAUUAUAUCCUGAUUCAGCUCUUCCUCCACAAAUGCAAGACAGAUUUUAUUCUAAUUCUGGUAGACUGUCUGGACCAGCAGAACUCAGAAGUUUUAAUAUGACUUCUUUGGAUAAAAUGGAAGGGUCAAUGCCUUCCUAAAUGGAAUCCAGUAGAAAUGAUACCAAAGAUGAUCUUGGUAAUUUAAAUGUGCCUGCUUCAUCUUUCCCUGCUAAAAAUAAAGCAAAUGCCCCUAGCUUUGUUCCUCCACCUCUUACUCCAAUUAGAGGUCCAUUGUUUCCAGUGGAUACAAAGGGUCCGUUCAUGAGAAGAGGACUUCCUUUGCCCCCACCUCUUCCAGGAACCAUGUUUGGAGCUUCUUAAGAUUAUUUUCCACCAAGGGAUUUCCCAGGUCCACCAUAUGCUCCAUUUGCAAUGAGAAAUGUCUAUCCACUGAGGGGUUUUCCUCCUUACCUUCCCCCAAGACCUGGAUUUUUUCCCCACCCCCACAUUCUGAAGGUAGAAGUGAGUUCCCUUCAGUGUUGAUUCCACCUUCAAAUGAGCCUGUUACUGAACAUCCAGAACCACAGCAAGAAACCUGGCAAUAUUUUUGGUCUCUUCAAAAGUAAUUUUGACAGAUCUCAUUUUCAAUUUAAGUAACUGCUGUUACUUAAGUGAUUACAUUUUUGCUUAAAUUGAAGCUUAAUGGAUCUAUAAUUCUCAGGAUGGUAUUUUGUAAAUAAAGAUGAUUUAAAUAUCGAAAAAAUAGCUUUCUCAUUAUACUCUCAACUUUUUAGUUUAUUGUCUAAUUGUUACCUGUCUUUGUAAUCUCAGUGGGUAGCACAAUGCCCAGCACAAAAUGACACUUAAAAAACUCUUGUAGAUGGAAAAAAUAAACAACAAUAGACCUAAAAGCCAUGUUGUAUGAAUUCACCAUGGCCAUUUGCUAUAUUUGCUGUAUAAGAAAAAAAGGAUAUUACCAUUUUUAAAUGUGUAAAAGAAAGAGACAUUCCAGUUGAUUACAGAAAAUCAUCUAGAAGAAGUGAAUAGAAACUAUAGGAGAUAUAUUUUUGCUCACUGUAUAAUUAGAACUUUUUCAAAUGGGAUGAUUCCCAUGAGGUGGGAUCCUCAAUUCAAUAUAACUGUUCAAGCAGAGUCUGAAUGCCUUUUUGUCACUGAAUGAGGAAUGGGGGGAUGGAUAAAGAAUUUCUCAAAUUCCUUCCACCUUUAAGAUUCUUCCACUUUAAACUGAACAUUUAGUAAACAAAUAAACUGACUUUCACAAAACAUUGUUUUUAGGCAGAAAAACUAUUGUCCGAGAAGAAUGACGACUAAAGCACAAAGAAGUUGGCUAUUUUUAAAAAGGUACCCUUCUAAUCUGUCUGGAAUUAAACUAAGGGCAUAAACAUACUUAGAAAAAGAUAAACUGCAAUUUCAAGCUGUCACUAAAUUUCCAUAAAUAAGGUAAAAUUCUUAGAGGAAGUGGAUCAGAAAAAACAAAUAACUGCUAUUUAUACCGACCUCUUACCCUAAGCCCUAAAAACUCGUGCAUACAUAAUGACUAAGAAAAUGAAAAUAACAAAUCAGAUCAAUUAUAUUAGAACUUUUACUGUCCAAGAAUAGCCAUCUCUUCCAAUGAAGGAAAACUCAAUAAAUUACAUUUAGAAAGAGCAACUCAAUCACCCAUGUAGCUUCUGGCUGCCACCAGAAAGAUCAGAGGAAGUUAUUAUUAGAAAACUUGGGAAAGGCACAUUAGAAACCACAGCAAAGCCCUUGGAUAUUUAAAAACUCAAAUAGUUUCCAUCUGUGUUUCAAGCCAUAACCAAAUUUGCCCAAACAUUGGAUAUACUGGGGAGAAAGAUAAAUCAAUAUGCAAGGUUAGUAAAUAAGAGAUACAUGGAAAUGGAGACCCCUAGCAAAUGUAGUUG